rnacentral:rRNA from 1 species
GACGAACGCUGGCGGCGUGCUUAACACAUGCAAGUCGAACGGAAAGGCCCUGCUUUUGUGGGGUGCUCGAGUGGCGAACGGGUGAGUAACACGUGAGUAACCUGCCCUUGACUUUGGGAUAACUUCAGGAAACUGGGGCUAAUACCGGAUAGGAGCUCCUGCUGCAUGGUGGGGGUUGGAAAGUUUCGGCGGUUGGGGAUGGACUCGCGGCUUAUCAGCUUGUUGGUGGGGUAGUGGCUUACCAAGGCUUUGACGGGUAGCCGGCCUGAGAGGGUGACCGGCAACAUUGGGACUGAGAUACGGCACAGAAUCCAACGGGAGGCAGCAGUGGGGAAUAUUGCAAAAUGGGCGGAAGCCUGAUGCAGAAACGCAGCGUGCGGGAUGAAGGCCUUCGGGUUGUAAACCGCUUUAGCCUGUGACGAAGCGUGAGUGACGGUAAUGGGUAAAGAAGCACCGGCUAACUACGUG